rnacentral:rRNA from 1 species
UACGUAGGUGGCAAGCGUUGUCCGGAUUUAUUGGGUUUAAAGGGUGCGUAGGCGGUCCUCUAAGUCAGUUGUGAAAUACUUCAGCUUAACUGGAGAGGUGCAAUUGAUACUGGAGGACUUGAGUACUGAUGAGGUAGGCGGAAUGGACGGUGUAGCGGUGAAAUGCUUAGAUAUCGUCCAGAACACCGAUAGCGAAGGCAGCUUACUAAGGAGUAACUGACGCUGAGGCACGAAAGUGUGGGGAUCAAAC